UCCGAGGACCAUGCAAGGCCUUGGUUCUGUCCAUUACUUGUAAGAUAUCUUUUUUGUACUUGGUUUCCCCACAGGCUUGGGUCCGAGGACCAUGCAAGGCCUUGGUUCUGUCCAUUACUUGUAAGAUAUCUUUUUUUGUACUUGGUUUCCCCACAGGCUUGGGUCCGAGGACCAUGCAAGGCCUUGGUUCUGUCCAUUACUUGUAAGAUAUCUUUUUUGUACUUGGUUUCCCCACAGGCUUGGGUCCGAGGACCAUGCAAGGCCUUGGUUCUGUCCAUUACUUGUAAGAUAUCUUUUUUGUACUUGGUUUCCCCACAGGCUUGGGUCCGAGGACCAUGCAAGGCCUUGGUUCUGUCCAUUACUUGUAAGAUAUCUUUUUUGUACUUGGUUUCCCCACAGGCUUGGGUCCGAGGACCAUGCAAGGCCUUGGUUCUGUCCAUUACUUGUAAGAUAUCUUUUUUUGUACUUGGUUUCCCCACAGGCUUGGGUCCGAGGACCAUGCAAGGCCUUGGUUCUGUCCAUUACUUGUAAGAUAUCUUUUUUGUACUUGGUUUCCCCACAGGCUUGGGUCCGAGGACCAUGCAAGGCCUUGGUUCUGUCCAUUACUUGUAAGAUAUCUUUUUUGUACUUGGUUUCCCCACAGGCUUGGGUCCGAGGACCAUGCAAGGCCUUGGUUCUGUCCAUUACUUGUAAGAUAUCAGCCCCUAGACCAUGGCGGGGGGGAUUUGGCUUGAAGCCGGGAGCCCCUAGAGCUGUCCGCGCUGUUGACACUGCAGGGCGUAGCCCCUAGCAG